UUUAGGGUAUGAGAAAAAUAAAUAAACAUUGAAGAAGAGAACCUAUGAGAGGAUAUCACUCAGAUCUGUAACGUGGCACAAUAUAACCCAUUGAGUCUUACUUAUGCUUUUCUUUCUUUCAUAUCGAUCGGCUUUGGUUUAUCUCCGAGUAAGAGAACAAAUAGAUGAUGUGGCACAGUCUUAUUCUUUCCUUUCUCUCAGUUUUCUUUCUCUCCGUUAGAUAGAUUACUCGUCCUCGUCUCUUUCCCUUCACUUCCUCGUCUCACUUCUCUUGCAGACGAGGGCAUGAUGAGGUCGAAAUCGAGGAGUGGGAGUUCCCUGGAAGAGAGAAGAAUCAACGGCAACAGAUCUGCCAUGAGAUACAGUAACGGCAAAGAUCUCGACUCGUCGUACAACAGUUCGUUGGAGCAGCCAGUGACUCCUCCACCGUUGCGGAUUUGGGAUUAAGUUUUGCUUUCUGGAGAGAGGUGCGUGACGAAAUGGUGGUCGGCUUAGCCAAGGCCAACCACUUCUAUUGUGAAUCAAAAAGCCAGAUACCGGCGACCAAAGAGUUUUGUAUAUAAUCAAGCCAAAGGGAAUUGUGGAUCUUCACUCCCUCUUUUUCAGUUAGUGAUAACACCGUAUUUUGACCACUUUUAUGGAUCGUUUUGAAAUACUUUUUUUAUAUUUUUAAUUGCUUUUAAGUACUUUUAUUACGUUUUUCUAGUAUUUGUAGUUCCAAGACUCUUUUCAGGUAACUUAGGGAAAAGCUUAACAAAAUGGAUAGAAAACCAGAUUUCAGCUCAGAGUCAAACCGUCAGAAGUUCACCCCUGAUUGAAGGCCUUCUCACCUCUGAUCCAGCUCAAAUUUGGAGAUCUUAAAGAUGGAAGUAUCAGCUUUUCAGCACACUUUACAGCUUGGCAAUCCAACGGUUCAAUCAAAAGAUACGCGAAGAGCAAGAUGUCCCGUAAACCAGCCGGCAAGCGUUUCCACCCGCGGCCAACAGAGCAUUUCCCGCGGUCAGAAGCACCGCGACCGCGACCAGCAACCCAUUCCCCGCGGUCACAGCCAUCCCGACCGCGGCCAACUACCUCCGAGCCCGAAAGCCUAUUUCUGAAGCCCAAAAUGAUUCUCUCAUUUGGAGAAACCCUAAGUGACGCCCAGAGAUGUCUUGAGCACUAUAGAUACAUGUUUUAGGAACCCUAAUUCGUAUGCCUUCAUAUGUUCUUAUUGUUUUAGAAUACUUUUUAAGUUUUAGGUUUUAAGGAGAGAGAGAUUUGUCUCUUGAACCCUUGUUCUUUCUUUUUCAAUUUCGGUUUCUAUUCUACUUUUUAAUACUAUGUUUUUGAUUUCGUUCAUCAUGUCUGAGUAGUUUUAUUGUUGGGAUUAAGGGAUUUUUGAUGGGGAUUUAUAUGUUUGAUGAGGAUUCCAUGAGCUUUUGAGCCGAAUCUUAGAACUUUUUCUUCUGAAUUCGUUUUUACUGCAUGAGAGUAGCGUCAUGAACUACAAUCUGAUCCAGAUGCUUGGUGACACGAAAGUGUUCAUCCGGUGUCAGAUCUAGUUUGGGAGAGCAAAACAAACAUAGGAGUGGAAACCUACCUAUGGGCGAUUUGUGAAUGCUGACGAGUCUUAAACAUAAUGCAUCUCUUCUUUUCUAGGGUCAGAGUGGAAACCUACUGGUCAGAGUUAAGAGAGAUAGUUGUCUAUGGUCACGACAGUGGCGUAUUCAUACGUCCGUGACUCCAGUUCGAAAAGUUUAAGCUAAGAUCUUAUCAAUUUUACUCUCUAGCAAUGUUUUGAAUCGUUCGUACCCCUGAGAAAACUUCCCUGAAGCCCAACGCUUUCUUUCUUAUAGAUUCACACCGUUUUAUUUCAAGCUUUAGUUCAAUAUUCUCAUUCCUUUUUAAUUGAUUUUCAUUUAAACAAUUAGAUUUGUCGUUUUUCCCGUUUUUACUCGUUUUCGCUAAGUUUAGUUAUUAGGUCAUUUUAAUUCCCGUGUUUUCUCUUUAAGAUUCGUUUUUACAUUUUAAACACACCACCAAAACCCCCACAAAACCGUUUGGUUCUAGACUUCCUUACUUUAUAUUUCUUUUGAAGGCUUUUGCAGGAAAGAUCCUCCUUCCCUGUGGAUUUGAUCCCUAAGUACUACAAUCGAUCAGCUGUGCACUUGCGGCUAUUCAUUUCAUUUAGGGUAAAACUUGACAACCCUCACGACACACCGACAUCAAGUUUUUGGCGCCGUUGCCGGGGAUUGCACUCAUUUUCUUUUCUGCAAAACCCUAAGAAAGGUUGGUAAAUUGACUCUAGAACCCCUUUUUCUGCAUAUUUCCAUUUUUCAGUUAUUUUGUUUCCAUUUCAGAAGAUAUGGAUCCUAUAAAUCGAAAUCCACACUAUGAGGAAGGUUUCUAUAACACUCCUCAAGCCACCAGACACAGAGAAGAACACCAAGCCCGAGAUCUUAGCUACAUGGAUCGAUACAGCCAGCCAAACCACCCAUACCACCGUCUCAUAGAGCCUGUUCGACGCCGGGAAGAUCCUUAUGGCCCUCCUUCGACCUACUUCGAGCCACACGCCUAUAAUCCUCCACUGCAGAACCCUAGUCAGCAAGAGGACAACUUGAGGAUCAGCAGACGUUUGGGACGCCUCGAAAGAAUGAUUAACCAGUUCCUUGAUCAGCAGAUUCUCACCGAAAGCACCCUGCUCAAGAGAAUUGAUUCAACCUCUGAAGAGUUCAACAGAAAAUUCGAUGACCUGGCCAAUCAUGUUCGAGUUCUGGAAGAGCAAACCCACAAGGACGUGUUUGAAGCUGGGAUGAUCCACCAAGUCGCAAUAGAGCAGACAAGACAAGGGUAUGACAUUAUACAAAACUCAAGUGAUAUUGUCGAAUCGAAGCAGGAGAUUAAAGAAGUCAGGGAAUCCGCCUCCUGGUAUAGAGAGAAGACAGACGAAGAGUUUCAGGAGAUCGAGCACAGGCUGAACAAACUCGAGCUCAAAGCACGGGAGAUUGAUGCAAGAAUGGAGCAGAUGCCCAACAUUGAGCAAGUUGAAAGAUUUUCUAAGAAAUCUCCCAAAAUACUGAUGAAGAUGCCCAACAACGCCCUGGUAUGAGUUCAUAUGAUGCUGGCCUACCUAAUAAAGAAGCUGGAGAAGUUCGUGUCAAGUACAAGAAGGAAGAAACGGACUAUGAGCAAGUUAUAUCCGGAGCCGCGGGUCCGAGCAUCCUGACCGCGGCCAAGGCUCUUUUUCCCGCGGUCGCGACGCCUCUGACCGCGGGAGUUGGUCGUUUAGAUCCAUCUCUGGGAUUUGAGAGAAAAUAAUACAUCUUCUGUCCCAACUUCAACCUCCAGCACCUAAAAAUGCAACUCAGGGAGAAGAAAACCAAGUUUCAGAUGAAGAAACAGAUUGGCAGGAAUCAUUACCUUGUAUGAUGGCAAGGGAAUGUGUUGAAGAUUCAGCUGACUCUUCAAUCCAAGAAGACCCGAUAUGCAGCAAGAUAAAGAUGCCAUACAUCGAUUCAAUCAUUGAAUACGACGCUGCAGCUUUCUUUUGUGAAUCCUAUUCUGCAUUUGAAACACCAGCCAACACCUACAGAGAAAGGCAAGUUCGAAUUCUCCAUAAGGUCAAGACUACAGGUCAGUUUCUUAUCUCUUGUUCUAUUAGAGGAGAAAUGUUUAAAAACGUGCUAUGUGAUUCUGGAGCUUGUCUUAACAUGAUGUCCAAGGCAAUUGCUUUGAGACUUGGUAUCAAACACCUGCGCAGGACUAGAGCAAAGAUUAGUCUAGCUGAUGAUUCAAAUGCAACACCUCAAGGAAUAGCUCAUGAAAUUCCUUUGAGAAUAGGAGAUUGCAUAGUGUCUGUCGACUUCUACAUUGUCGAGACAAGAGAUGCAACAUAUCCAGUGAUUCUCGGAUGGUCUUUUCUAGCAACUUCCGGUGCUAUAAUGGACUGGCCAAACCAGAGGAUUUCAUUUGCUAAUAUCGACAAAGAUGUCUUCACAGAAGCUGUCCCAUACAACAGCAAAGCAGGAAACCGUUCUGCAAUAGAAGAGUUUGAAGAAGAACUUUGGAGUGACGAAGAACCUGCUAGGCAAAGCAAGGAGAUGUCGAAAAAGACUUGUCUCAGGACAAGGUCUUCUUCAUUGGACUAAGCCACGUCCAACACCAAAAGUCGAGCUAAACGACUUAAAGCAAAAGCGCUUAAUUGGAGGCAACCCAUUUAGGUAUUGUUUUCUUUAUGAUUUUUUUUUUCUUUUUCUAUUGAUCUUUUUCUUUUUCUUAGUUUCAGGUGUUUCUUAUAAAAUAAAAAAGCCAAAAAAAUCAAAAAAACCGAAAAAAACCAAAAAGAAGGAUGGUCCCUGACUGCUCGGUCAGCAGGAACCAAGAAGAAGCAGGAAGAGGCCGCGAAAUAAGCCCCCGCGGUCGCAGACGUUCUGACCGCGGGAAACGCCUCUUCGACCGCGGUCGCGUCUUCCUGACCGCGGUCAAGCACCUGUUUACCGCGGUCGCGUGACUCCUGACCGCGGAAAAUGGUCGUUGAGAUCAAACCCGACCCCAAACCACCCACUUCACCUCAUUCCACCUCACCAAUCCCCAUUCCACCUCAUUCAUCACCCUCCACCACCUUCAUCACCACCUAUCACCUUCCCAAACCUCUUCGAAUGAAUCCGGUUCAUCUCCACCAGCAUCCCGGAUUCAGGUAAGUUCUCUUUGGCCUUACCAAUUCGAUUAUCUAUGCAUUUUUCUCAUCCAAUCUCGACUUGUUUCACACUGAGGACAGUGUGAUUUAAGUCUGGGGGAGGAUUUCAUCCCUUUCUAACCACUUUUAUUUCAUGAGUCUUGCAUUAUCUACACUUUUUGCAUUUUCCUUAAAGUUUUUCAAAAUCGGUUUUCAAAACAAAAUACAUUUUAAAGGGAAUGGUGAACAUGAAUCAAUGAUAGUUGAUUGUGUGCUUUAGACUGUUCCUAGUGACAUGCUCAUCCAUGAUUUAGGACUAGACUAGGCGGUAGCUAAGCACAUUUGAAACGAAGUACCCCAGAGGAAUUUGAAUGAUUUCGAUUGUGAUGAAGGGAUACACUAGCUCUGUUUUAUUUGGACUUAAUUUGGACUUAACUUUCUCAUUGAAGCAUUAGAACAGGGAAACGAAUCAUACAUUCAGGACUCCUUUAUCCUUUUAUCACUCUCUGUUGAUCAUGAAUGGCUAGUUCAUCUUUAGCUAGUUCCCCACCUUAACCACUCCAUUUUCAAACCACAUGCACUCUUGUUUUCUAUUGUCUUAUAUGCAGAUAAGUGCAAAAACGUUGGAGAGAAAGAGGAACGAUGCAGUUUUCAGUCACCAAGGACAGAGACCUGCGAUUUGCCGGAAAAGUUCCCGGAAGGAUUCAACACAAGAGGAAGCUCAGUUUGCCUUAGAAAAAUCUCAAAUUUUGGUACAAUCUCGUCCUCUAGUCUCUCUCUCUAUAAAAGGCAUUUCUUUUUCAAAAAAAGAAUUAAAAAAAAAUAAAAAAAUCUGAAAAUAAGAAAAGAAAGGAAAUAAAAGCCUUAGAGAGUCUAGAGAGGUCGAUUUUAAGUCCCAAGGCAACUGGAGUUCGAUUUUAUGGAGUUUUAGAGAUCAUUUUCUGAUUCCCGGAAAGAAUCUAAGUCUGGGGUAAUAGUUGUUUACAACAAAGGAGGAAGGAUUAUGCAACAACAUUUGGCAAGAAGAAGUGACUGAAAAUUACGGUCAUCAACAGGUCCUUAUCUCUCUUGCGGUUUUGCAUAUUAUCUUGCAUUCUCCAGAUCUUCAGGUAACCCGAAACACUUUAACUCCACCACUUAAACAUCCCUUUAAUGCCAAACGCCGUCUACCCUGGAUGAUGUCUUUAAUGGGAACUCACUAUUGAACUUAAUGAAUGUAGAGAGCUAGUUGACUGGAAUCAAGAUUUAGAUUGUUUAAGUUUUGCAUGACGGAAAAAGUGGACUAGUAUCUCUUGUGCAUUGGUGAGAAUUUUCUAGAUUAAGUUGUGGAUUGAUGCACUAUCUUUGGUCCUAGUUUAAGAGUUCAUGUCUCUGAGAUUUGUGCAUUUCCUAUUUUUUUUUCACUUAACCAUUUUAGGCUUUCGCUUUGUUUGAGGACAAACAAAGGUUUAAGUCUGAGGGAGUUGAUAACACCGUAUUUUGACCACUUUUAUGAAUCGUUUUGAAAUAUUUUUUCUAUGUUUUUAAUUGCUUUUAAGUACUUUUAUUACUUUUUUCUAUUAUUUGUAGUUCCAAGACUUUUUUCAGGUAACUUAGGGAAAAGCUUAACAAAAUGGAUAGAAAACCAGAUUUCAGCUCAGAGUCAAACCGUCAGAAGUUCACCCCUGAUUGAAGGCCUUCUCACCGUCUGAUCCAGCUCAAAUUUGGAGAUCUUAAAGAUGGAAGUAUCAGCUUUUCAGCACACUUUACAGCUUGGCAAUCCAACUGUUCAAUCAAAAGAUACGCGAAGAGCAAGAUGUCCCGUAAACCAGCCGGCAAGCGUUUCCACCCGCAGCCAACAGAGCAUUUCCCGUGGUCAGAAGCACCGUGACCGCGGCCAGCAACCCAUUCCCCGCAGUCACAGCCAUCCCGACCGCGGCCAACUACCUCUGAGCCCGAAGGCCCAUUUCUGAAGCCCAAAAUGAUUCCCUCAUUUGGAGAAACCCUAAGUGACACCCACAGAUGUCUUGAGCACUAUAAAUACAUGUUUUAGGAGCCCUAAUUCGUAUGCCUUCAUAUGUUCUUAUUGUUUUAGAGUACUUUUUAAGUUUUAGGUUUUAGGGAGAGAGAGAUUUGUCUCUUGAACCCUUGUUCUUUCUUUUUCAAUUUCGGUUUCUAUUCUACUUUUUAAUACUAUGUUUUUGAUUUCGUUCAUCAUGUCUGAGUAGUUUAAUUGUUGGGAUUAAGGGAUUUUCGAUGGGGAUUUAUAUGUUUGAUGAGGAUUCCAUGAGCUUUUGAGCCGAAUCUUAGAACUUUUUCUUCUGAAUUCGUUUUUACUGCAUGAGAGUAGCGUCAUGAAC
rnacentral:lncRNA from 1 species